UACGUAGGGGGCAAGCGUUUGUCCGGAAUCAUUGGGCGUAAAGAGCGUGUAGGCGGUCCGGUAAGUCCGCUGUGAAAGUCGGGGGCUCAACCCUCGAAUGCCGGUGGAUACUGUCGGGCUAGAGUGCGGAAGAGGCGAGUGGAAUUCCUGGUGUAGCGGUGAAGUGCGCAGAUAUCAGGAGGAACACCUAUUGCGAAGGCAGCUCGCUGGGACGUAACUGACGCUGAGACGCGAAAGCGUGGGGAGCAAACAGG
rnacentral:rRNA from 1 species